UUGCACGCUGGCGGCAUGCUUUACCCAUGCCCGUCGAACGGCAGCGCGGGCUUCGGCCUGGCGGCGAGUGGCGAACGGGUGAGUAAUACAUCGGAACGUGCCCAGUAGUGGGGGAUAGCUCGGCGAAAGCCGGAUUAAUACCGCAUACGACCUGAGGGUGAAAGCGGGGGAUCUUCGGACCUCGCGCUAUUGGAGCGGCCGAUGGCAGAUUAGCUAGUUGGUGGGGUAGAGGCCUACCAAGGCGACGAUCUGUAGCUGGUCUGAGAGGACGACCAGCCACACUGGGACUGAGACACGGCCCAGACUCCUACGGGAGGCAGCAGUGGGGAAUUUUGGACAAUGGGCGAAAGCCUGAUCCAGCAAUGCCGCGUGUGUGAUGAAGGCCUUCGGGUUGUAAAGCACUUUUGGCGGGAACGAAAAGGACUGUGCCAAUACCACGGUUCGAUGACGGUACCCGCAGAAUAAGCACCGGCUAACUACGUG
rnacentral:rRNA from 1 species